rnacentral:ncRNA from 1 species
CCGUGAAACGCCCUUACUCCUCCAACAGGUAAAGGAGCUGGUAUCAGGCGCAAACUACCCCGCCCAUAACACCUAGCCACGCCACACCCCCAAGGGAACUCAGCAGUGAUAGACAUUAUUUAUUAGCGUCAGCUUGACCUAGUUACAGUAGACAGAGCCGGCCAAUUCGGUGCCAGCCGCCGCGGCUAUCCCGCUUGGCUCAAGUUGACAUUAUCGGCGUUAAGCGUGAUUAAAGUAAUACUCAAGAUAGAGUCAAACCCAAACCAAGUUGUAAUACACCUGACCACAGGAAACCCACAAGCGAAAGCUACUCUCACCACACUUGAACCCACGACAACUGGGAUACAAACUGGGAUCAGGUACCCCACUAUGCCCAACCGUAAAAUAUUAAUCUACAUUUCAAACCGCCAGGGAAUUACGAGCCCACACUUAAAACCCAAGGGACUUGACGGUGCCCCACCCACCUAGAGGAGCCUGUUCUAUAAUCGACACCCCACGAUAUACCUCACCACCCCUAGCACACUCAGUCUGUAUACCUCCGUCGCAAGCUUACCAUGUGAACGCCACAGUGAGCCAAAAGAUCUGCCACCAACACGUCAGGUCAAGGUGCAACUAACGGAGCGGAAAGCAAUGGGCUACAAUUUCUACAAUAGAACACACAAUAACUGCAUGAAACACAGCCACUAAGGCGGAUUUAGAAGUAAAAAGAAAACAGAGAGUUCUUUUUAACUUGGCCCUGGGACGCGUACACACCGCCCGUCACCCUCCUCACCCCCCACAAGAGGAGGCAAGUCGUAACACGGUAAGCGUACUGGAAGGUGCGCUUGGACAAACAAAGUGUAGCUUAACUAAAGCAUCUCGCUUACACCGAAAUAGAUGUCAACAAAUCUGACCACUUUGAGCCCAAAUCCUAGCCCCCCCCCCCAAAAAAACUCACAGCAAAUAAACAAAACAUUUUUUUAUUUAGUAGCGGAGAUCAAAAAAUAAAUAAGAGCCAUAUAAAUAGUACCGCAAGGGAAACGUGAAAUAACAUGAAAACUUAAGCAAACCACAGCAAAGAUUAACCCUUGUACCUUUUGCAUCAUGGUCUAGCUAGCCUAACCAAGCAAAACGAACUUAAAGUUUGACCCCCCGAAACUAAGCGAGCUACUCUAAAACAGCCCACAGAGCCAACCCAUCCCUGUUACAAAAGGGUGGAAAGAUUUUAAAGUAGAGGUGACACACCAAUCGAGCCUAGAGAUAGCUGGUUAUUCAAAAGACGGAUCUAAGUCCAACUUUAAGCUUCUAUAAGUGGCACAAACAACCCACAAACUUAAAAGCCAUUCAAAUAAGGUACAGCCUAUUUGAACAAGGAGACAACCUAUGACGCAGGGUAACGACCACCACACGUGACUAAGUAGGCCUAAAAGCAGCCAACUUCUAAAGGGCGUCCAAGCCUUACCACACCCACUAUCAAUUUCUCUAUCCACCCACAACCCACAACCAAUAAUGAAUGACCCCAUACCCGUAUGGAAGACACCAUGCUAGAACUAGUAACAAGAAGACGAACUUCUCCAAAAUGCAAACAUAGGCCAAAAUGAACCCUCACCGGCACUUACCGCACCACAACAUAGUACCAACUGCACAAGAAUACCCUACUACAUUAAACGUCAACCUUACACAAGAGCACUCCUGGAAAGAUUAAAAGGGGGGGAAGGAACUCGGCAAACACCAGCCCCGCCUGUUUACCAAAAACAUCGCCUCUUGACAAUAUAAGAGGUCUAGCCUGCCCGGUGACAAUAGUUAAACGGCCGCGGUAUCCUAACCGUGCAAAGGUAGCACAAUCACUUGUUCUCUAAAUCAGGACCAGUAUGAACGGCCCCACGAGGACUAUACUGUCUCCCCCCCCCAAUCAGUGAAACUGAUCCCCUCGUGAAGAAGCGAGGAUACCCCCAUAAGACGAGAAGACCCCAUGGAACUUUAAACUGGUACCACCCACCCCACUUCUACACCACACCAACAGGACGACAUGACUACCAGUCUUUCGGCUGGGGCGGCCACGGAGAAAAACAAAACCCCCGAGAUGAAAGGAAACCCCCUUAUCCAAGAACCACUAUUCCAAGAAUCAACAAAUGACACUAUUGACCCAAUACUUGAUCAACGAACCAAGCUACCCUGGGGAUAACAGCGCAAUCCAUUUCAAGAGACCCCAUCGACAAAUGGGCUUACGACCUCGAUGUUGGAUCAGGGUACCCCGGUGGUGCAGCCGCUACCAAAGGUUCG